GACUGACUGGUAUCCAGUUCAAGUAAUCCAGGAUAGGCUGUGUGUAUCCUGGUUGGCCUAUUCAUGAUUACUUGCACUGGGUGUCGGC
ensembl:miRNA